AUUGAACGCUGGCGGCAGGCCUAACACAUGCAAGUCGAGCGGAUGACGGGAGCUUGCUCCUUGAUUCAGCGGCGGACGGGUGAGUAAUGCCUAGGAAUCUGCCUAAUAGUGGGGGACAACGUUUCGAAAGGAACGCUAAUACCGCAUACGUCCUACGGGAGAAAGCAGGGGACCUUCGGGCCUUGCGCUAUCAGAUGAGCCUGGGUCGGAUUAGCUAGUUGGUGAGGUAAUGGCUCACCAAGGCGACGAUCCGUAACUGGUCUGAGAGGAUGAUCAGUCACACUGGAACUGAGACACGGUCCAGACUCCUACGGGAGGCAGCAGUGGGGAAUAUUGGACAAUGGGCGAAAGCCUGAUCCAGCCAUGCCGUGUGUGUGAAGAAGGUCUUCGGAUUGUAAAGCACUUUAAGUUGGGAGGAAGGGUUGUAGAUUAAUACUCUGCAAUUUUGACGUUACCGACAGAAUAAGCACCGGCUAACUCUGUGCCAGCCGCCGCGGUAAUAC
rnacentral:rRNA from 1 species